GACGAACCGUGCGAACGUUAUUCGGAAUCACUGGGCUUAAAGGGCGCGUAGGCGGGCCUGAAAGUCAGGGGUGAAAGCCCCCAGCUUAACUGGGGAAGUGCCUCUGAUACUUCAGGCCUCGAGGGAGGUAGGGGCGUGCGGAACUUCCGGUGGAGCGGUGAAAUGCGUAGAUAUCGGGAGGAACAUCAGUUGCGAAGGCGGCUCUCUGGACCAGCACUGACACUGAGGCACGAAAGCGUGGGGAGCAAACAGG
rnacentral:rRNA from 1 species